UACGUAGGGGGCUAGCGUUGUCCGGAAUCAUUGGGCGUAAAGCGCGCGUAGGCGGCCCGGUAAGUCCGCUGUGUAAGUCAAAGGCUCAACCUUUGAAUGUCAGCGGAUACUGCCGGGCUAGAGUCCGGAAGAGGCGAGUGGAACUCCUGGUGUAGCGGUGGAAUGCGCAGAUAUCAGGAAGAACACCAACGGCGAAGGCAGCUCGCUGGGACGGAACUGACGCUAAGGCGCGAAAGCGUGGGGAGCGAACAGG
rnacentral:rRNA from 1 species